GGCAGCGUGCCUGAGUGGUUAAGGGGUGUGACUUGAAAUCACAUGACUUCGGUCGCGCAGGUUCGAACCCUGCCGCUGUCG
rnacentral:tRNA from 1 species